AGCGCAGACGGUUAUUUAAGCAAGAUGUGAAAGCCCCGGGCUCAACCUGGGAACUGCGUUUUGAACUGGGUAACUAGAGUGUGUCAGAGGGGGGUAGAAUUCCACGUGUAGCAGUGAAAUGCGUAGAGAUGUGGAGGAAUACCGAUGGCGAAGGCAGCCCCCUGGGAUAACACUGACGUUCAUGCUCGAAAGCGUGGGGAGCAAACA
rnacentral:rRNA from 1 species